rnacentral:rRNA from 1 species
AGGAUGAACGCUGGCGGCGUGCUUAACACAUGCAAGUCGAACGAUGAAGGCUGGAGCUUGCUCUGGCUGGAUUAGUGGCGAACGGGUGAGUAACACGUGAGUAACCUGCCCCAGACUCUGGGAUAAGCGCUGGAAACGGCGUCUAAUACCGGAUACGAGCUUCCACCGCAUGGUGAGGAGCUGGAAAGAAUUUCGGUCUGGGAUGGGCUCGCGGCCUAUCAGCUUGUUGGUGAGGUAAUGGCCCACCAAGGCGACGACGGGUAGCCGGCCUGAGAGGGUGACCGGCCACACUGGGACUGAGACACGGCCCAGACUCCUACGGGAGCAGCAGUGGGGAAUAUUGCACAAUGGGCNCAAGCCUGAUGCAGCAACGCCGC